CUGAACUCCUCUGGGUUUCGAGGUAUAUCCUCCGCAUCAGACAAAGAUGGGGUUGUUUUCCCCUCAUGGAUCCCCUGGGUUAGAUGCAGCAUUAGGAUCUGGCCUCCAUAGUACCUCUACCUGGGGAGGAAGUGACAAUAUUUCACAAAAAGCUUCUUUUUGGCCUGAAUUAAAAACUAUUUUUGGACUAAA